CUGAAAAACCGGAGAGUUUAAUUCGAGUUGAGAAGCUGGCCAAUGGGAAGACAGGGAAGAAAAAAGAAGUCACUUUCUACCUGAUGGACAUUCUGGAGAAAGAUAAACUACUCACAAUUUUCCAAGAGCACAAUUUUUUCUGCGUGAUGCAUCUAGCUGGUCUGAAGUAGGUGGGGGAGAGCGUGAAAUAUCCCCUGAAGUACUACGAGGUGAACAUGGGCAUAGCCACUAAUCUGCUCAGAUGUAUGGACCAAACUGGCGUCACCAACUUCGUAUUCGCCAGCAGUUCCACAGUGUAUGGGCCAGUGCCGUGUGAACAACUGCCGAUAACUGAGGAGCAGCCGACUGGCAACUGCACGUGUGCAUAUGGGAGAACCAAGUACUUCAUUGAAGAGAUGCUCAAGGACUGCUGUCGGGCC